AGUGAACGCUGGCGGCAGGCCUAACACAUGCAAGUCGAGCGGCAGCGCGGGGGCAACCCUGGCGGCGAGCGGCGGACGGGUGAGGAAUGCAUCGGAAUCUACCUCGUUGUGGGGGAUAACCUCGGGAAACCGGGACUAAUACCGCAUACGACCUACGGGUGAAAGUGGGGGACCUUCGGGCCUCACGCGAUGAGAUGAGCCGAUGCCGGAUUAGCUAGUUGGCGGGGUAAAGGCCCACCAAGGCGACGAUCCGUAGCUGGUCUGAGAGGAUGAUCAGCCACACUGGAACUGAGACACGGUCCAGACUCCUACGGGAGGCAGCAGUGGGGAAUAUUGCACAAUGGAGGGAACUCUGAUGCAGCGACGCCGCGUGAGUGAAGAAGGUCUUCGGAUCGUAAAACUCUGUCCUUGGUGAAGAAAGGGACGGUAGCCAAGGAGGAAGCCCCGGCUAACUACGUG
rnacentral:rRNA from 1 species